CUACACAUGCAGUCGAGCGGUAGCACAGAGAGCUUGCUCUCGGGUGACGAGCGGCGGACGGGUGAGUAAUGUCUGGGAAACUGCCUGAUGGAGGGGGAUAACUACUGGAAACGGUAGCUAAUACCGCAUAACGUCGCAAGACCAAAGUGGGGGACCUUCGGGCCUCAUGCCAUCAGAUGUGCCCAGAUGGGAUUAGCUAGUAGGUGGGGUAACGGCUCACCUAGGCGACGAUCCCUAGCUGGUCUGAGAGGAUGACCAGCCACACUGGAACUGAGACACGGUCCAGACUCCUACGGGAGGCAGCAGUGGGGAAUAUUGCACAAUGGGCGCAAGCCUGAUGCAGCCAUGCCGCGUGUGUGAAGAAGGCCUUCGGGUUGUAAAGCACUUUCAGCGGGGAGGAAGGCGGUGAGGUUAAUAACCUCAUCGAUUGACGUUACCCGCAGAAGAAGCACCGGCUAACUCCGUGCCAGCAGCCGCGGUAAUACGGAGGGUGCAAGCGUUAAUCGGAAUUACUGGGCGUAAAGCGCACGCAGGCGGUCUGUCAAGUCGGAUGUGAAAUCCCCGGGCUCAACCUGGGAACUGCAUUCGAAACUGGCAGGCUAGAGUCUUGUAGAGGGGGGUAGAAUUCCAGGUGUAGCGGUGAAAUGCGUAGAGAUCUGGAGGAAUACCGGUGGCGAAGGCGGCCCCCUGGACAAAGACUGACGCUCAGGUGCGAAAGCGUGGGGAGCAAACAGGAUUAGAUACCCUGGUAGUCCACGCCGUAAACGAUGUCGAUUUGGAGGUUGUGCCCUUGAGGCGUGGCUUCCGGAGCUAACGCGUUAAAUCGACCGCCUGGGGAGUACGGCCGCAAGGUUAAAACUCAAAUGAAUUGACGGGGGCCCGCACAAGCGGUGGAGCAUGUGGUUUAAUUCGAUGCAACGCGAAGAACCUUACCUGGUCUUGACAUCCACAGAACUUUCCAGAGAUGGAUUGGUGCCUUCGGGAACUGUGAGACAGGUGCUGCAUGGCUGUCGUCAGCUCGUGUUGUGAAAUGUUGGGUUAAGUCCCGCAACGAGCGCAACCCUUAUCCUUUGUUGCCAGCGGUCAGGCCGGGAACUCAAAGGAGACUGCCAGUGAUAAACUGGAGGAAGGUGGGGAUGACGUCAAGUCAUCAUGGCCCUUACGACCAGGGCUACACACGUGCUACAAUGGCAUAUACAAAGAGAAGCGACCUCGCGAGAGCAAGCGGACCUCAUAAAGUAUGUCGUAGUCCGGAUUGGAGUCUGCAACUCGACUCCAUGAAGUCGGAAUCGCUAGUAAUCGUAGAUCAGAAUGCUACGGUGAAUACGUUCCCGGGCCUUGUACACACCGCCCGUCACACCAUGGGAGUGGGUUGCAAAAGAAGUAGGUAGCUUAACCUCGGAGGCGCUA
rnacentral:rRNA from 1 species